GACGAACGCUGGCGGCGUGCUUAACACAUGCAAGUCGAACGGUGAAGCGCCUUCCUUUUUGGUGGGUGUGGAUGAGUGGCGAACGGGUGAGUAACACGUGAGUAACCUGCCCCCUUCUUCUGGAUAACCGCAUGAAAGUGUGGCUAAUACGGGAUAUUCUGGGUCUGUCGCAUGAUGGGUCUGGGAAAGAUAUUGUUUCGGUGGGGGAUGGGCUCGCGGCCUAUCGGCUUGUUGGUGGGGUGAUGGCCUACCAAGGCGGUGACGGGUAGCCGGCCUGAGAGGGUGGGCGGUCACACUGGGACUGAGACACGGCCCAGACUCCUACGGGAGGCAGCAGUGGGGAAUAUUGCACAAUGGGCGCAAGCCUGAUGCAGCGACGCCGCGUGAGGGAUGGAGGCCUUCGGGUUGUGAACCUCUUUCGCCAGUGAAGCAGGCCUGCCUCGUUUGUGGGUGGGUUGACGGUAGCUGGAUAAGAAGCGCCGGCUAACUACGUG
rnacentral:rRNA from 1 species